AGGACGCUCGUAUAUUAAGGAUUGUGUCGUAGAAUAUAGGCACUCUGACGGGUAAGUCCAUUGAGUUGGCGAAGGUUUUUUAGAAUAGGAGGGUUAACAUAGCCUAUGUCCAGGAGAUUAGGUGGAAUGGGUCGAAGGCGAGGAAUGCAGGCGGGUUUAAGCUGUGGUCUGGGGCGUGAGAGGUAAGAAUGGAGUGGGCAUCUUGGUAAAU
rnacentral:lncRNA from 1 species